CCUACGGGAGGCAGCAGUGGGGAAUAUUGCACAAUGGGCGAAAGCCUGAUGCAGCAACGCCGCGUGAAGGAAGACGGUUUUCGGAUUGUAAACUUCUGUUCUUAGUGAAGAAUAAUGACGGUAACUAAGGAGCAAGCCACGGCUAACUAAGUGCCAGCAGCCGCGGUAAUACGGAGGUGGCAAGCGUUGUACGGAAUUACUGGGUGUAAAGGGAGCGUAGGCGGGAAGGCAAGUCAGCUGUGAAAACUACGGGCUUAACCUGUAGACUGCAGUUGAAACUGGCUUUCUUGAGUGAAGUAGAGGUUGGCGGAAUUCCGGGUGUAGCAGUGAAAUGCGUAGAUAUUCGGAGGAACACCGGUGGCGAAGGCGGCCAACUGGGCUUUAACUGACGCUGAGGCUCGAAGGUGAGGGGAGCGAACAGGAUUAGAUACCCGAGUAGUC
rnacentral:rRNA from 1 species